UAGGGGCAUUAUGAGGCAAUAUGACAGCUGCAAAUGCACUGGUGGAAACAUAUUAUCUCUAUUUAACUUAUUAUCCUCAUUGUUUGUUAACCAUCCUUUGUGUGAUUAUUGUUAUUAAUCCUCGAAAAACAUAUUUAAUCUGGACUGGUUGAUACUAUGUUAUAAGACUGCUAUGUUAAUCAUUAGGAGAUAGAUUGUUGCAUAAUUUUCUGCAAAUAAUUUUAAUUUUGAGAUUGCUUUAUACUGAAACACAAGGCAGGCUUUUAUUUCUUACUUGGCAACUGUAGUUUAUAUUUGCUAUGUUGUAUUGUAAGCUAUUUCUGUGGCUGAAAGAGUUGCUGAUGAGUGUUGUGAACCUUCACCAGACUAACAUUACAGCCAUAGAUAAAACAGUAACGGUUGUGUUGGAUAUUGAGAGACUUGCACAAUCCUCAGAUAGAGGUUCGGGGAGCCCAAAAGUGACUGAGUGGCAGCUUGUUUGAAGUUUACAUUCUUCUUUCCGUGGGCAAACACUGGGAUUGCUAAAGGGUCAGUAAGAUCUACUUCUUAAUUCCCUUAAAUUGUAAAAUAAUGUGGUGGGUUGUUGUUUAGGAGCAAGCAGGUGGCUUGCAUGGAGAGAAAAGGUGGAAUAUAUUGGGAGUGUUGUUUGUUUUGUGAAUGUUAACAUAUUGUUGUUCAAUUUGUUGUCAAUUUCUUGUAUUUUGUCUAAGUAAAUACAUAUAGUAUGCUGU